CAGUCGCCGCGGGAAUACGUAGGUGGCAAGCGUUGUCCGGAAUUAUUGGGCGUAAAGCGGGCGCAGACGGUUACUUAAGCAGGAUGUGAAAUCCCCGGGCUCAACCUGGGAACUGCGUUCUGAACUGGGUAACUAGAGUGUGUCAGAGGGAGGUAGAAUUCCACGUGUAGCAGUGAAAUGCGUAGAGAUGUGGAGGAAUACCGAUGGCGAAGGCAGCCUCCUGGGAUAACACUGACGUUCAUGCCCGAAAGCGUGGGUAGCAAACAGGAUUAGAUACCCGAGUGGUCCCUGUCUCUUAUAC
rnacentral:rRNA from 1 species